GUUCAAGUCUAAAAUUAAUGGCUGCCAUCAGCAGAGCCUUGCAGCUCUCUUUUCACUCUUGCAGCUAGCAUUCUAGUGCAGAGCUAACUACUAAGUAGAGUAGCAACACUCGGUAAACAAGUGUUUGACUACGUGCUCUUCCGAAAAGGCUGCAAUGGCAUUCCAAGUAAGCAAAACUAGCCAUAACUUGAGAACGAAGCAUUAUUUUGCAAAUCCACGAAUUAAAAUCCAAGAAAACAUGACUAGAAGCCUAUAGAAACUCUUACUUGCACUUGAUUCAUCCUUGAGCAGCUGUAGCAGCUAGUCUACACACACAGAGUGACAGACACACACACACACAAACCAUAGAUAGAAAAGGGAGGGAUUGGAAACGAAUCACGUGUGCCGAACACUCCUUGUCUGCCGGAAGCAUAGAUCAAAGAGGGAAGUGAUCACUACUUAUACUUCCUCAAAAUAAAAAUUGUGUUCCAGCCAGCUGAUUUCGAGUAUAUGGCUUUCUAGUUCUCAAGAAUGGCUUUCUAGCUCAGGUCUACAUUUGCACUGUACAAUGGAAAGUAGUGCUCCGGCUCCAUUUCAGAGUAGGUUUAAGGAAGCUUUUAUGACUGUUUUGACAGAGAGUACAUAGAUUCAAAGCUUCAUCACCAGAGGAAGCAGUUGCCCUCAACACAGCUUCUGCGUUGAUAGUUAAUUUCGUUGGAGGGUUCUGAACAUAGUGUGAUGGUUCGGGCUGAAAUUCUACUCAGAAUUGAAGUCGUGACACUCUGCAGCAUCAUUUAAUUAUCAUGCACAGUUAAAUUUAUAGAAUUGAACAAUUAUUUAUCACAGUUAAGAAUUGAACAUGUGAAUGUGAUUGAAUUAACAUGUGAACAAUUGAUUUCUCUAUA